rnacentral:rRNA from 1 species
ACGCCAGUCUGCAUGGAGCCGACCUUGAAAUACCACCCUUUAAUGUUUGAUGUUCUAACGUGGACCCGUUACCCGGGUUGCGGACAGUGUCUGGUGGGUAGUUUGACUGGGGCGGUCUCCUCCUAAAGAGUAACGGAGGAGCACGAAGGUUGGCUAAUCCUGGUCGGACAUCAGGAGGUUAGUGCAAUGGCAUAAGCCAGCUUGACUGCGAGCGUGACGGCGCGAGCAGGUGCGAAAGCAGGUCAUAGUGAUCCGGUGGUUCUGAAUGGAAGGGCCAUCGCUCAACGGAUAAAAGGUACUCCGGGGAUAACAGGCUGAUACCGCCCAAGAGUUCAUAUCGACGGCGGUGUUUGGCACCUCGAUGUCGGCUCAUCACAUCCUGGGGCUGAAGUAGGUCCCAAGGGUAUGGCUGUUCGCCAUUUAAAGUGGUACGCGAGCUGGGUUUAGAACGUCGUGAGACAGUUCGGUCCCUAUCUGCCGUGGGCGCUGGAGAACUGAGGGGGGCUGCUCCUAGUACGAGAGGACCGGAGUGGACGCAUCACUGGUGUUCGGGUUGUCAUGCCAAUGGCACUGCCCGGUAGCUAAAUGCGGAAGAGAUAAGUGCUGAAAGCAUCUAAGCACGAAACUUGCCCCGA